rnacentral:rRNA from 2 species
UUAAAGCGGUACGCGAGCUGGGUUCAGAACGUCGUGAGACAGUUCGGUCCCUAUCCGUCGCGGGCGCAGGAAAUUUGAGAGGAGCUGUCCUUAGUACGAGAGGACCGGGAUGGACGCACCGCUGGUGUACCAGUUGUUCUGCCAAGGGCAUCGCUGGGUAGCUAUGUGCGGACGGGAUAAGUGCUGAAAGCAUCUAAGCAUGAAGCCCCCCUCAAGAUGAGAUUUCCCAUUCCGCAAGGAAGUAAGAUCCCUGAAAGAUGAUCAGGUUGAUAGGUCUGAGGUGGAAGCGUGGUGACACGUGGAGCUGACAGAUACUAAUAGAUCGAGGACUUAACCUA